AGCUCCAAUAGCGUAUCUUAAAGUUGUUGCAGUUAAAAAGCUCGUAGUUGGACUUCAGAGUGAGCUCAGACGGUCGGCCUAAGGGUCAGAACUGGUUGACUCUCUCUUGUUUGUGGAAGCCGCCCGGAGUUAACUCUUCGGAUGUGCUCUCCACAUCGUUUACCUUGAAAAAAUUAGAGUGUUCAAAGCAGGCGUUUGCUUGAAUAUAUUAGCAUGGAAUAAUGGAAUAGGACCCUGGUUCUAUUUUGUUGGUUUUGAGGACCAGAGUAAUGAUUAAUAGGGAUAGUUGGGGGCAUUCAUAUUUCAUUGUCAGAGGUGAAAUUCUUGGAUUUAUGAAAGAUGAACUUCUGCGAAAGCAUUUGCAAAGGAUGGUU
rnacentral:rRNA from 1 species